GGGCAUAUAGUUCACUGGUAAGAGUAUGUGCUUAGCAUGCAUGAGGUCCUUGGUUCAAUCCCCAGUACCUCCA
rnacentral:tRNA from 1 species